rnacentral:rRNA from 1 species
GACGUAGGGCGCGAGCGUUGUCCGGAUUUAUUGGGCGUAAAGAGCUCGUAGGCGGUCUGUUGCGUCGGCUGUGAAAACCCGGGGCUCAACUCCGGGCCUGCAGCCGAUACGGGCAGACUAGAGUUCGGCAGGGGAGACUGGAAUUCCUGGUGUAGCGGUGAAAUGCGCAGAUAUGCGGAGGAACACCGAUGGCGAAGGCAAUCCCCUGGGCCUGUACUGACGCUCAUGCACGAAAGCGUGGGGAGCAAACAGG